AUUGAACGCUGGCGGCAGGCCUAACACAUGCAAGUCGAACGAGUGGCGGACGGGUGAGUAAUGUCUGGGAAACUGCCUGAUGGAGGGGGAUAACUACUGGAAACGGUAGCUAAUACCGCAUACCAUCGGAUGUGCCCAGAUUGGAUUAGCUAGUAGGUGGGUUAACGGCUCACCUAGGCGACGAUCCCUAGCUGGUCUGAGAGGAUGACCAGCCACAGUGGAACGGAUACACGGUCCAGACUCCGACGGGAGGCAGCAGUGGGGAAUAUGGAACAAUGGGAGCAAGCCUGAGGCAGCCAUGCCGCGUGUAUGAAGAAGGCCUUCGGGUUGUAAAGUACUUUCAGAGGGGAGGCGUUACCCGCAGAAGAAGCACCGGCUAACUCCGUGCCAGCCGCCGCGGUAAUUC
rnacentral:rRNA from 1 species